rnacentral:rRNA from 1 species
UACGUAGGGGGCAAGCGUUGUCCGGAAUCAUUGGGCGUAAAGCGCGCGUAGGCGGCCCGGUAAGUCCGCUGUGAAAGUCCAGGGCUCAACCCUGGAAAGCCGGUGGAUACUGCCGGGCUAGAGUCCGGAAGAGGCGAGUGGAAUUCCUGGUGUAGCGGUGGAAUGCGCAGAUAUCAGGAGGAACACCAAUAGCGAAGGCAGCUCGCUGGGACGGUACUGACGCUAAGGCGCGAAAGCGUGGGGAGCGAACAGG